rnacentral:tRNA from 1 species
CCCGUAGUUGCCCCGGAACAGGGGAGAUGGUAGGGGCGGGUUUGAAAAACCUAGGGGCGGGUUUGAAACCCGCCCCUACGGGG